ensembl:lncRNA
AGGUUUAAACAGCGUCAGAUUGUGUGUCGACCAUAUUUCAUAGCUUUUUAUUUCUUCUUUAAAGCAGGAUAACAUUCCGCCAGCUACUUUUACCCGACAGUUACAUUUACAAUAAAAGUGAUAGAAUGGUUGAAUGAUUGACUUUUGUUGUAAAUAGUCUGGAUGUAAGAACAGAGAGUGUCACACUCUUGUACAGGACUGCUGCAUUAUGUUAUUAUUAUGCUACCUUUUCUAAUUGUUACAGACAAUGUCAACAGCUGUGGCCAUCAUCUAGAGCUGUAAUCACACAAAGAGAUACACGAUCAUCUUAAAAACAUCUCUAUUUAGGUUAUUAAGUGAACAACCGUGCGAUGUGUCUUUGUUUUAUGUGUGAACGUGGGUUGGUGGGGGCUUGCAUGCAGUACAUGAUCCAAAGGAUGAUGCUGUCCUGUGGAGGCUUUUCUAUUACUCAACCCAAAAAUCUGGUAAAAAUCAAUGAUCCGGAUGUGUGUCUUUUUAUGUGUAACUGUGAUUUGAAGAAACAAAUGGGAAACACAUGUCCUAUUUUUAGCCAAGCUUUUUGUUUGUCAGUUCUGGCGCCUAUUCUGUCGCAGCGAGGCCUGUGUUCGCCCCGCGUUCGCCCAGCGUUGGCCCAACGUUGGCCCCGCGUUCGACCCGCGUUGGCCCCGCGUUGGCCCCGCGGCCGGAAGCGGGUUGUUGCGGCAGUAGAGGUUUCAGAUGGUUUGUUUGUAACUAGAAUCCAUCCCUCCGUCUCCUUCUCUUCAACACCCCCCUCCUCUUCUCCUCUUCCUCCCUUUCUGGAGCUGUCUUUUUUUGUUCUUGGAGAGAGAGGGGGAUGGGGGGGGGGGGGGGGGGCGGCGGCUCGGCGCCUACGUGUUGAGAGGGGCGGCGUGACGGAUGAGAGAACCUGUUUGGUGGAGAAUGGAGAAUGGAUUUGCGGGUGCAGCUCGUACCCCCCCACCCUCUAUACACCGCCCACAUCCACAGACAGCCGUGUCCGACGGGGCCUGACAACAACACUGGAGGUGUGGAAUCGGAUUCUCCGUGCCUUCACGCUGCCUGCGCACGAGGUGGAGGCCUGGCGUGUGUGUCCAAGUGUGUGCGUCCAGAAAGCUUGCGUGUCCGCCGACAAACGUUAUUUGCAGGAACUCGGGGGAGAACUCUGCUGUAUAGGUGUGACUGAGCUCACUGUAUACAAUCAAAUCAGACCUACGGUUCUAUUUGGCGGGCUGACAUACAAUAUGGUUAUGGGAAACUCCCCCCUUCCUGUGUGCAUGAGGGAAGGCUAAUAUGUCACGCUGAGGGGGGGGUGGAAGUGGGGCAAAGAGUCGCUAUUAGACCAAUAGGAAGGUGUAGGAGCACUACCCCUCUGAGUCGCGGCUAUGCAAUGUGUGUGAGCGUGUGCGUCCGUCAUCUCCACGGCUUCCUUCACAUUCCUGAGGAUCAGUGUUAGGAAGCUCAGUGUCCUGCCAAGGUGUGGCCGAUUUAACGCGUCCGCCACUCACGGUCGUGGCACUUCUGCAAAGUAGUUUGGCUUCCUCUGCUUUUCCCCCUCGCACCUGUGGCCAGUAGACGUUCAAGCUUCAAAUGCUUGCAAAUUAGGCACAGUAUAUAUAUAUAUAUAUAUAAGUGGAGUAAUAAUAAAAAAAGUACCUGUCUCGAUGUGUCUGCCACGAGGGGAAACCCAGGUGUGAGAGAAUGAAUAAACCCAACCCCAGUUAUUAACGCAAGUACUUUAGCACCUAAGUACAUUCAAUACAUAUUUUUUACAAUUUUUGAAAAUGUACUUAAUGGCAUUUUCCUUAUUGCAUCACUACAGAAAGAUUAAGCAGCACUGUGUAAGACAAACGGUACUAGCGUUCAUCACUCGUUGAUUUCGUUCAUGGGACAUUUUGGCCACAUUCAGGAUUCCUCAAUAAGGACACAGAAUAUAAUACACGGGCAGCGAGGCCUCGCGUAGGAAGAGCUGAAUUUCUCACUGGAUUAUUUUUGGAACAAAAGAAUAUCUGUUUUUGUUGCUUUUCAUUGGCUCUAAGGGGAUUAAAAGAAAUGAUCCGCCUGUGCAAGAAAACACAUGGACGUCUUUAAAGAAUUGCAAACACUGCAGUCCGCAGGACGCCUGCAGUUUAUUUCUGUCCAUAAAACAAUUGUGCAGAAUUCCUGACAGACCCAGUAAACAAACGUAACCCCUGACCAGUGGCCCAGUGCCCUUCUGAAACAACUCCAUUGACAUUGAUGUAGACCGUCACUGGAACAUCUCACUCCCCAGUGAAGGAGAAAGGAAGUUGACCUCCAACCUCUCACCUUUGUCUUCGGGGGGGUCAGCUUGGGUUCCCUCUGGGGUUCUGCCCUUUAAGCCUGACCGUUAUGAAAAUGCAGAGCCCUACAAGCGGGACAUUAAAACAUCAAGACGGUUCAACGUCCUCAUCUGUUCCUGCUUAUAGACACAUAAUAACGCAUGUAGGUCAAUGGAAAAUUCUGCAACUUUAAACGACACAACUUGUAGAAAGGUGAACAGGUUUAUAGUCAUUCGAGAUGAUCUGUAGGAGAAGAGAUGUGUGCAUGUAGUAGAUACAAAUAAAACCAGUUUAAAAAAGAAAGGGAUGCCACAUUUUAAGUGCAAAUGCCAGCACAUGUCGGCCGAGGAGCCGCCUUUAAUGCAACACCUGUCGAAAAGAACCUGGAACCUUCAGAGGUCAUCUUGAUACCAACUGGUCAACCUGUGACGAGUUGUGGUGACGGGAGAAUCGUAGGUUUACGUUAAGCUCGUGUUCAGCUAUCUAUUUAAACCAGAGUUGGCAUUGAUACGUGUAUCACAUUUUUUAUGUCUCCCCGUGACUGUUUUCUUUUCCAACACAUAUACACCCCCCCCCCCCUUCUAAGAAAAGACUUCUUCUAAGAAAAAUCAAUGGCGAACGCACAGCAAGACGUCACAAACAACGCAUUAAGGGCUUCAUUCUCCUCAUGGAAGUAGAAGCAAAUUGCAUAAUUCAAUAGGAAAUCAUGCAUUAAGCUGGGGAAGAUUCCAGUUUGAAUCAAUAGAAGGUAUUGAUGUUACAGCAAUGGCUGGCCCGGACUGUCGUAAACCGGUUUGCAAUGGAGGGGAAGGAACGGGGGGUUGGAACUAACCGGAGGAGUCAGCCACUGUAGAGACUCUUUGUCUGGGAUGCACUACAGAGAUGCAAAGUCUGCCCUGGUUCUGGGAUCUGGAUGUCGGCCAGGACUUGAGGGGGAGCCAAGAGUGCAGAAGUGGCCAAUCGGUCCCGUAGUGACACAAAGAGGCCUUUCUCUGGACCACAGGUCUGCUGCGGCUUAGGACUCGCGCUGGGGACUUCAGACUACAAAAGCGAGGUUAACACACACACAGACCCCCACGCACCCGGAAAGACAGAAGGAAAAGCGGGAUAAUAUCGCUGUUGCGUCGCUCAAAAGUUCCCUUAUUCAGUUAUUCACUUUUCCUGAUUUCAUUACAUGUUACAUGUCCUUUUUUUUCCAACGUAUAAGACAACGGGACCACGUUGAUCUAAUGCAUAUAACCAUGUCUGCUAAACACACGUACCGUGCAUGUGUGCAAGCACCCUGUCUCUCUUUUCUGUGUUAUGUAACUCAUAUACAUCUGGGUCAAAAAACUUACAAUUAUUUGUAGGGGAAACAAUAUUUCCUGUGCCUCCCCCAACCCUGGUGGCUCUGCAGAUUGUAAAUGGAGUGAGGUCUGGCCCGUGUUAGGCCGACUCAGCCCCCUCUGGCCAGUUAAUGAAGCUUAAUUUAAGUGAUUAAAGUAUAUUAGGAACUGGAGGUAAAAGGAGAGCAGCCCCUGUAAAGAUGACCUUUCACCUUUGAGCUUUGGCCCCCUUUCCCCUUAGAUCAGAGCUUUCUGGGAAGAGGUACUAAAAGAGGCUGUGAGUGUGUGUGUGUGUGUGUGUGUGUGUGUGUGUGUGUGUGUCCUGGGCCUCCCUGCUGAAAAAAAAUAGUGCCCGCGCUUGAUCUGACUGUUGCACCGGAGUUUAUUUGUAAACUAGCCAAUACAUAUUUUUGAAUCAGUGCCAUCGCACCGAAAGCGAUACGCGCAAAAAACGUUUAUUUUUAGAAACAAUGUGUAUUUUUUCCACCACGAAUAAAAUAAUUAACUAAUCACGUUGUGCAAAGCAGACAUUAUUGAAAACAUAGUGAACAACAACACGACUCUAGUGAAUUUCAUUUAUAUAACGAAUGAAAUGACAAACAAAAGAGUUUUGAUGCAAAAGCAGAAUCAUUUCUCAUGCUGUUGAUUCAUCAGUCAGCGGGGUUACAUGGAUUUGAAUAACUGGCUUAGUCGGACUGAAAUCGAAUUAUCCGUUUCAUGUAAACACCUUUGUCCGACUAUGUGCGGUCCGACUACGAUCCGACUAACACCCCUGGAUAACUCCAUCCGAUCCAGUUGAUAGUUCGACUAUUGCGGCAUGUGACGGUGAAUCGGAUGAGGAACUGGACUUUGCGUCUUUGCGCGUGCUUGAGAUCCCGACGGCGUCUUCUCUCCGUUAUCAAAUCAGCCGAUAGCGCCAUUCGCAUUCGCUGUACUCCUAUUAACAUCAUGCACACAUAGUAGAGGGAUGUAGCUUCACCUUGCUCUUCGUUCGCCAUCUUUCUCGUAAUGUUGAUGUUGUUGUUGUUGUUGGUUGUUGUUGUUGUUGGUAGUGGUGAAGCGGUCAAGCGGAAAUGGCUGUGUCACAACUAGUUGUAAUGAAAACAGCGCCACCUAUCGUAUCGGAUAUGACAUGCUUUCGGCCAAUGAUUUGAUUUAUUCACUGCCGUGUAUAUUGGGAUAAUAGCACCUCCCCCCGAAAGACAGCAUAGUCCGACUAAGCAAAGAUUAGAAUUAUACCAUCAUGUAAACACACUGAGUCCCUCAGUGUGUGAAGGCUUUUGCUUUUGGUAAUUUUCUGCAAAACUGAUGAUGAUUCAAAGGAGCAUUAGAAAAUCUAGAACGCAAUCCCCAAACCACAAAUGUAAAACUCAAAAAAGGUGUUUGACCCAUCAGGGUUUUAGCUGCGUACCCACAUUUUAUCAGCCGAGCACUCACCCACACUGCUGACCCCCACACGCCGCGGUUAGCACAAGCUUCCCUCUUAUGUUGACUUUAAAUGAACUUCUCUUAGAUCUUUUGUCAGGAUUGUGACAGCGGUGAUAAACCAACGUGUUUACACAGCGCUGGACUAAUAAAAACAACGCCCAGAUGAUGAAGAGCAGAGCGAUGCAAAAAGUUAUCAGGACACACAUAAACCCAAUAUUUGGGUCACUGGGGGGGAUUUUGUAUUCAUGUGCAAUGGACUUUUUCUAACAAAUGUUGCAGGAAUGCCGCUCUGCAAAUACUGUGUGAGUGUGUGUGUGUGUGUGUGUGUGUGUGUGUGUGUGUGUGUGUGUAGAGAUAUCUGUGAAACGGAGGCGGUCAGACCGGCCUGGAGGUGAACUGUGAUGUGACAGAUGAACCACUCCACCUGGUGUGUGUCUGAGUAUGUGUGUGUUUUAUAGUCUGUGAAAUGAAGAUGGGGGGAAAGGUGAUGCAGGGAUGUGGGGGGAGGGGAGGGUCAUGAGAUAAUCAACCCCCGAUCAACUCCAGCCGUUAAACCCACACACACACACACACGCAGUCUCUCUUGGGUCUGAGAUAACCCGAGUCAAGGGCCCGAAGGGGUUCAAAGGUCAGGGCCCUGGCUCAUAGGGAACACAUGGAAGGGAUAGAGAGGCUCUGGAUUCCAUAAAAGCAUGAGCAGGGGACGGACUUAUUUACGGCUGCAAGGAAAACAUCACAACUCCAUCUCCCUCCCUCGCUGACGCAUAGGGGAGCGUGCGAGAGAGACAGAGAGAGGGAGAGAGGGGGAGGGGGGGGAAGAAAAACUUCUGGUUCUCUCUACUUGCCGUCCAAAUGGCUUCAUCUCAAAAGGCUCUCUGAAGGGGGCUCAAACUUUCCUCUCAGAGAGCAGGGAAUCGAAGAAUCUCACAUCGUCAGCCGCAAACUGAAGAAGGAAUGAAGAGGAAGCCACUGAACGCUGCGCCAAAGCAGCGGAAUAUCGUUACAAGCCCUGGUUUUUAAUUGAGACCACACUAAUGACGCGUGUUUUUUCUGCUCGCUGAAAGGCACAUGGCGCGGCCGGUGUGUGUUUGGUAAACGUUAAGUCACUCAUAGACUCACUCACAGACACGCAGCAUAUUAACUUCAAACACUCGCCUCUCGCCCACAUUCUCUGCUUGUUCCACAUCUGUCUCUGUGCAUGUUCCAUAUUUUAAGUGGGAUCUGUUUUAUGGCUGUUGCUCUGAGCUUCAAGUUGUCAAAGAUUUCUUUGCAGUCAAGUACCUUGAUGCAAAGCAUAAAAACGAUUAUCCGUAUAGUUCUCAGUAUAACAAUGUAUAGCAGACAGUUAUCCAUUUAACAAUACCAAUAUGGAUCACUGCACUGCAUUGGUUAUUGUUUCCUUACAUUUGUUUGAUGAAGGGAUGGAAGACUGUAAAUUGAGUUGAAUGAGUGUAAUACAUUUAGUUUGUACACCCUGUAACGUUUGGGAGAAUAUUGCAUCACAUGCUUGCGUGAUCACGUCAUUCCAUCGGCGCAUUCGUCCCACAAAACAGCUACGUGUGCUGGUAAAAGCUGCGGAACAUAAAACAAAUAUUUAAGAGCCACUAAAACGCUCUUCAGACUGUAGUAACUCUUGGUUUUUGUGGUCGAAAAUGGAAACAAACGCAGGCGAGCUGAAGACAGAAAGAUAUAAACCAGGAGGAGAAUGACUUCGCAGUGGCCAUCUGUCCUGUUUUGGCCGCUUCACCGUAGCUCACCCGAGGGUGGCAAGCAGACACACACACACACACAUCACGGUCAUUACUAUGCUGUCAGUCCGUCCCCUUUGUCUCGCGCCGUGCGUGUCUCUGUGUGUGUGUGUGUGUAAAUGUCCGUGGGUGUCGUCGGGUCGUUGGGCUCGUCACCCGAGAGUUCUCAGACAAUGGCGGUGAGAUAAUGAAGACAGGAGCCAGUAACGGAGGCUGAUGGAGAACAAUGCGGCGGUAAUGUCCCUGGAACGUUGAGAAGAGUUUUACUGGUCCUCACUAGGACGCUUCCUUCCUGUCCUGCUUUAUCAUCACACAGGAAAGAAAAUAAACAAUCCCCAUCCUCCCCCUCCUCCCCUCCCGCCUCCCCCUCCUCUGCUGAAUGAGUGGUUUGUCUUUCUCCUCCUUGCCCUCCUCUCCUUUGUAUCUAAUCUUCUCUUUUCUUUUUGUUUACUCUCGUCCUUGUCCUCCUGUCUUUUUCUCCAGUCUCCUUUAUGUUCCCCUUCUUUGGUCUUCUUGUUUAGAGUCUUUCCACUU